AUACGGAGGGUGCAAGCGUUGUCCGGAUUUAUAGGGUUUAAAGGGUGCGUAGGUGGCGUGUUAAGUCAGUGGUGAAAGCCUGCAGCUCAACUGUAGAGGUGCCAUUGAUACUGACAUGCUUGAGUAUGGACGAGGUAGGCGGAAUUUGUGGUGUAGCGGUGAAAUGCAUAGAUACCACAAAGAACACCGAUAGCGAAGGCAGCUUACUGGACCAUAACUGACACUGAGGCACGAAAGUGUGGGUAGCGAACAGGAUUAGAAACCCUAGUAGUCC
rnacentral:rRNA from 1 species